GACGAACGCUGGCGGCGUGCUUAACACAUGCAAGUCGAACGGUAAGGCUCCAGCUUGCUGGUGUACACGAGUGGCGAACGGGUGAGUAACACGUGGGUGACCUGCCCUGCACUUCGGGAUAAGCCAGGGAAACUGGGUCUAAUACCGUAUAGGACCAUGCCGUGGAUACUGUGGUGGAAAGGUUUUUCGGUGUGGGAUGUGCACGCGGCCUAUCAGCUUGUUGGUGGGGUAAUGGCCUACCAAGGCGGCGGCGGGUAGCCGGCCUGGGAGGGUGGACGGCCACAUUGGGCCUGAGACACGGCCCAGACUCCUACGGGAGGCAGCAGUGGGGAAUAUUGCACAAUGGGCGGUAGCCUGAUGCAGCGACGCCGCGUGGGGGAUGACGGCCUUCGGGUUGUAAACUGCUUUCACCAUCGACGAAGGGUUUCUGACGGUAGAUGGAGAAGAAGCACCGGCUAACUACGUG
rnacentral:rRNA from 1 species